CCUGACACCUUUCUUCUGUUUUUAUUUUCUAGAUGUCCAAUCAUCUGACCACACGGGAAUUCAUAUCUUUAAUCACCAAAAGAACAGAAAGUGGAUAUUGGGAGGAAAACGCGCCCUGUCCUCCAGCCAGGUGGCCCAGCGCAGUGUGAUUUAAGCACCCAUCAGGGCGGAGCCCACCCCCACCUGAGCUCUCCUGGGUUCUCACAGUCCUGCCUCCUCCUGUAGCAGACCUGUCACUGUGCCCCUUUCAGCACCAGGCUCAGCUGGUGUGUGAGCUGGUCCUUGGGAGGGAAGCAGUCACCAACUCAAGGGUGUGCCUAUUCUCGGUGGCAUUUCUAAGGUGGUUUUAAGCAGGCUGUCGAAACUGAGUGAAAUGAGGGAGCUUGCUGGGACAUGUUCCCGUCUCUGGCAUAGGAUGGGUGAGACCUGGGGGAGCAAGCCUCUUGGUUUUUCUUUCUUCUUUCCCUCCCUCCUUUCCUCUCUUCCUUUCUCUCUUUUGCUUCCUUCCCUCUCUCCAUCUCCUCCCUCCCCACCGCCUCUCUCUUCCACACACACACAGGAAGGAUCUGCUGGUCCAGGAGGUCACCUGUCAGCUGGCUCCCCUCCCAGCACACCUUCCUGUGAGUAUCCGGACUGCAAACCCCUCACUGCCAUAACCUAGAAACCUGAACACAUUCUGCUGGGGACACAGCCUCCGCUUCAGCCUGCCUGGCAUUUCCCCAGUCCUGGCUCCUUCUGGAAAGGUCUCCCCUGUGCGGGAAGCAGAGCCCCCGUGUGCUGGAGGUAAGAAUGCUGGAGUUCCACUGUUGAAAGACAAACUUGGCAACCUCCCAGAGAGCUUCACGGAUGGAAGGGCAGACCCCAGGAGAGACGGGGGCAGCGGCUGGGCAGGGCUGGGGCACUCUGUUCAGAGACCGAGG
rnacentral:lncRNA from 1 species